CCGACAGACAUAAUAUCAAAGAAGAAGACCCCGUACUGUAGGUGGCCGCAAUAUGGAAUGUUUUUUUUCUUUUUUCUUAUUCAAUACCCCGUCCAGAUGGUGACGGUAAUGCACCAUUAACAUUGGAUGCCAACCGCCGUUAAACCCCAUCGAAGAAGAAGAAGUGGCGGCGGCAAUACACCAGUCGGUGUAGUCUGCCAUAAAACUUUGAAGGAGAAGAAGAAGAAGAGCACUCCUCAGGGUGUAUAGUUAUUUUCUUUUAAUGUUUUAUCAAGACAAGCAAGUUGAAAAUGACCUUUGCCUUUCCUCUACGAAUGAAUGUUUUUAUAGAUGAAGACCUAGACAAAAAUUUUGAAUAGCUACCUGAAUGGAAACUUAAUUGUUGAAUAAAUGAGACUGACGUCUUGAAAAGAUAGAACAUGUACCUGUUGCGCUUCUCUAUUGCCAUCAUUCUUGGGUUUGUGUGGUAUUUAUUUGACCGCGGACAAGUAGCGGCUCAAAUAGCUUUAUGUUUACUAUUUUGGCAAUCAACCCCAAAUAUUUUAAUAAAGACCAGACGGGAAAGCGGAACUCAGACAGACGAUGUGGCUGAAGAACAUUUAUUCCAGGAAACCACCAACCAUUUAGGUUGCGAUGUGACUGAUACAACAAGCACUAAAGCUGAAACAUCACAGGAGACACAGUUUCCCCAUGUGAAGAGAUCUCUUCAGCAAGUGUUUGACUGUGCCUACGCCCAGCUAGUCCUCCCCUGGUACAGCGUCCCCGAACCCUGUGACAGUCAGCUCCUGCACCAGGUGCUGUGGAAGGAGUUUGACCAAGUCAUCGAUCAAGUCAUCAGCAGAGGCAAAGACUUUGAUGUCUGUGCUGCAAGUGUGGGCUGCAUUCGCAUCCUGACCCAGCACCUCCAUAAUGCCAAACAGUCUCAUAGAAAACCAUUGUUCCGCUCUAGAGGAGAGGAGGUUGAAGUUCUCAGAGUGUUCUCUGAAGCACUGGUGCGAAACCUUUUACCCCAGUCCCUAUGGGGACUGGCAGUCAGCCACUGUGCCUUAAAUGAGAUAGUUGCCUUAAAAGUACUGGACCUGCUGGUGCGUUGGCUCUCAGACCCUGACAACCUCAACCAGCUGGUGGUGAGUCAGCUGGAUGGAGCGACCCGUAAAAGCUCUGUGGCGGAGCUGUGUGAGUCCCACUCUGACAGGGCCUCUCCAGCCUCCCUGGAGAGCCAGGCCAGUGGAGCGACUCAGGAAGAAACAGAGGAUGCGCAAACCAGUGACAGCAAGUCCAAAAAGAAAGCUAACAAAUUGAAGGAAGGCUGGUCUAAAUUCCUUGACAAGAUGAGAUUGAAGAAUGCUAAAAGGGAGAAGAUGAAGAAAAGGGAGCAGGCGCUGGUUGUCACGGCCAUGUCUAUCCAGGGUCGUCCAUCAAACAAAACUGAAGGGAGUAGCCGGGAGGGCUCCAUCCGGAACCAGCAGGACUCUGACAGUGAGGACAGUGAUCUGGAGAGCUACUGGAACAGUGUACACGAGGAUAUGAUGGAAUUCAAUCUGUCGUAUGAGCUGUGGCGGGUUGGCCACUGGGCUGUCAGCGUCCCUUGUGUGGAGAGGGAAAACGAGGAACUGUGUUUUACAGUUCACCUGGAGGAGAGGGACAACCCUGAAAACCUUCACUGGAACGUGAGGAAGACUCAAACAGACAUCAUCCACUUCCGCAACCUAUGGCAGGACUCUGCUACUUUACCCUCCCUAUCCAUGUUAGAAGAGAACACUGAGGUGAACAUCAGUGAGGAUUUUAAAGAAGCCAAAAAGUCCAUCAAGCACUUCUUACAGGAGCUGGUGUCUGAUGAUCUAGUGGGCCACACUCAGCCAGUGUUUCAGUUUCUGUGUCCUCUGGACAAGCUUCUGGUUGAAGAGGAUCAUGUGGGGGAAGUGUGGGGCCUCUUCAGUGGCCUGGCCUACUUCCUGACUCCGGGCCAAGAGGAAGAUGAGGACAAGCACAACAGCCUUGGAAGAGGGACCAAACCAGAUGAUUCCAACACAAUGGAGGCUGCAGACCCAACUGCAACUGAGAACCUGGAUGGCGAUACAAGGGAUGACCUGGCCCGGGGCCCAUGUAUCAUCAUCUCCCAAUGUGAUGAGGAUUCUCCUCCAGAACCCAGUUCCAUUGAGUGCUGCAGAGAUGACGAAACCGAACCAAUAGAGAAAUCUGACAUUUUGGUUAAUGCAGACAAAACCAAGGAAUCUGAGAACCCCAUAACUUCUCACCUAAAGAUGGCAAUUAAAAGGCUAUCUAGAUCAGAGGAGUGUCUGGCCCAAACAAAAUCAGACACCCCUGAAGACCAGACUGACUCUUUCUGUAGACUGCGACGUUCCAGUGAAAAUGGAAGCUCGCAAUUUGACCUCACUGGCAGUCCAACACAUCCUUUUGGUGGAAAGUCGAAUAAAAAGGAGAAACUCACUUUCAAAAUGUCAGGAGGGAUGCCCAAGAGUAAAGGAAAUGAAAUGGGGAGUCAGCCAAAAUUAGAAGACUCACCGUGUUUGAAAAAGGAACAAUCCAGCUGGGAGCAAAUGGAAGCAACCAAAGCCCUUUUUGAUUUGUUGAAAGCAAUAUCUGGCAAUUCCAUCCUUCUGAACAUAUUUGAUGCGAUUCUGAAACCCGUCAUGCCGAUAUUGAAAAAGAAAGUGAACAGCUUCUUGAAUAAUAUGAACCCAACGGAAGCACAGAUUGCCUCCUAUAUCGACAACCUGCGUGAGAAACAGUGGCCCGGGGGCUUGCCGGAGGUGACAUGCCCUAUACCCCAUCGCAGCAGUGAGGAGAAGCAUGAAACCAAAGACAGAGCUCACCACCUCAUCAAUGCCAGAUAUUCAAACUAUUUAAUCUUGAAGAAGACCAAUAUGGAGUCAGCAUUUAAGCUCUUCCAGGACUGUGAAGAAAACAAGAAGCUGGUCUAUAUGCUGCUUUCAUUCCUGUUGAGAGAGCUUCUGCCAGGUGAGGAUGCCCUUAAUGUGAGUGCCAUAACCCAGCAGAAAGUGAACGUCAACUAA
rnacentral:lncRNA from 1 species